rnacentral:rRNA from 1 species
GAUGAACGCUGGCGGCGCGCCUAACACAUGCAAGUCGAACGAUUAAAGCACCUUCGGGUGUGUAUAAAGUGGCGAACGGCUGAGUAACACGUGGGCAACCUGCCCCUUUCAUUGGGAUAGCCACGGGAAACCGUGGAUAAUACCGAAUACUUCGAGACUUCCGCAUGGAAGACUCGAGAAAGCUCCGGCGGAGAGGGAUGGGCCCGCGGCCUGUUAGCUUGUUGGUGGGGUAACGGCCUACCAAGGCAAUGAUGGGUAGCUGGGUUGAGAGACCGACCAGCCAGAUUGGGACUGAGACACGGCCCAGACUCCUACGGGAGGCAGCAGUGGGGAAUCUUGCACAAUGGGCGAAAGCCUGAUGCAGCGACGCCGCGUGCGGGAUGAAGGCCCUCGGGUUGUAAACCGCUUUCAGCAGGGACGAGGCGAAAGUGACGGUACCUGCAGAAGAAGCCCCGGCUAACUACGUG